UACAGAGGAGCCAAGCGUUGUCCGGAUUGACUGGGCGUAAAGCGCACGCAGGCGGACGCGCGCGUGGGGUGUGAAAUCUGGCCGCUUAACGGCCAGGCGCCAUCCCAUACGGCGCGACUGGAGUGAUGCAGAGGUCGAUGGAAUUGCCGGUGUAGUGGUGAAAUGCGUAGAGAUCGGGCAGGAACACCCAGGGGGAAACCAGUCGACUGGGCAUCUACUGACGCUGAGGUGCGAGAGCGUGGGGAGCGAACCGG
rnacentral:rRNA from 1 species